ACCCGGAAGGUGCCGGGGCUUCUCCCGUAU
rnacentral:tRNA from 1 species